GGUUUAUACUAUGAAAAUCAUAGGAUUUCUCCAUUAACAAUGCAUUAUAAUCACAGUAAUUUGCAUUAAUGUUCAUAUUUAUAAGCUACAUUACAAUUUACAAAAUACACAAAACCAUGGCCAGAAGGGAAGAAGAAAGAGCAGUGGUGAAAAAAGGUGAAGAAGGUCUCAAAUUGGCAAUCUCACUGUAUGAAGAGUUUGGACUUCCACUUGGGCUUUUGCCUCUUGAUGAUGCAAUUGAAGUAGGGUUCGUUCGGAGCUCCGGAUACAUGUGGAUCCUCCAAGAAAAGAAAGUGGUGCACAAGUUCAAGAUGAUAGGAAAACUUGUGAGCUAUGACACAGAGGUAACUUGUUACAUUGAACCCAACAAAAUCAAGAAGCUCAAAGGAGUGAAAGCUAAAGAACUCAUAUUUUGGACACCAUGUGGGGAUAUCUUUGUGGAUGAUCCUCCCACCGGAAAGGUUCAUUUCAGGGCCAUCGGUGGUCUCACUGUCACGUUUCCCGUCGAGGCUUUUGGCCUUGGUCAAUAAUUAUUUAUUUUCCUAUAUCACAUAUUAUGCUUUGUAAUUGACUAAUCAAGAACUAUCACUUUGUGAUCAAGGCAAUUUAUCCAUUGUUUCUUAUUAAACACAAGCUAAAAUCUCUUGGUAUACAAUCGUUCACAACGUUUAAGAAGUUUUGGGUAUACAUAAAUUAUUAAAAUUAUACAAAAUGAAAAGCAAAACAAACUAAAACAAUAAAAGAAUCGAAUCAAACCGAAUCUGUUCAAUUUGUCGAUUAUGUACAGUAUGCCAAACAUUGCCUUUUUUUUUCACUAAAAUGAUGUUGUUUGCUCACUUUCUCCCUACCCAGUACUCAGGCCUAAUCCCCAAUCCCAAUGGCCAUUCAUCCCAACAAAUCAAUGCCACAGCCAAGAACAAAAUCAUGAACAAAUUUACAUGUCAUAACAAAUUCAAACGACAAAUGUACAAAGUUUAAGAAAAAGUUUUUCAACAAAAUUCCCUUCUCAUAACAAAUUUCAAGAACAAAAUCAAAGCUUGAAAACUAUGGUGAGAGAACUUAAGGCGUUAUUUAGAGAGACCUUGAGGUAAAGCUGUGAUAGUCGAACUAUCGAAAUGCUACAAUGGUGUGCAUGCAUGGUUAUGGCAAAGGCAUCGAGCUGAGAGAGGUUCAUGGCACACCAGGAGGACCUGAUCAGGAUGAUGAUAUUGAUGAUGUGUGACUAUGGAUUGGGUAACUGUGAUUGAAGGGAAAUAAAAAGAAUACUCAUAUUAAAGGGAAACGGAAGAAAACUAAUGUUGUCCGCCUGCAUACUACUCCCAUCACACCGUCAAAUGUAUAUAUUCAGUCAAUCAUUAAUUAUAAAAUAACAUCCUAUCAUGACACAAGAAUCGUAUACAUUUAACUAAUAAUUCAUCUUAUAUUUUGAAUUCAUAAUAAUCAUGUUUAAACAAUAAAAAUUUU
rnacentral:misc_RNA from 1 species